UCCAUCGCAAGUUGGAAUCUGAAGAAGGUGUAAGCGAAUCUCCGGUCUGACGAAUAGAAAUCACCUAUGUAUAUGGUUAUACUCAUCGCGAUGACAUACAUCCAAAUGCUGACGAUAGUAUAAAUCAAGGUUGAGGUUAUGAUUGUAGAGAAGGAUUUCUU
rfam:Peptostreptococcaceae bacterium oral taxon 113 str. W5053 genomic scaffold Scaffold81, whole genome shotgun sequence.